UUUGGUUUUGUGAAAUAAAUCUGCUCCUCAGCUCUGCCUAGAUUAGGAAUAACAUUACUUUUUAAACUUUUUAUUUUUCUCACAUGGUAUGCUGUCUCACGAAUUUAUACUUUGCCUAGAGUUAGUGAAAGUUAAAAGGAGAAGAACCUUAAAGCUAGGAUUUCAGCUCUUACUGCAGUUCCAGUAAAAGUAAACAGAAAUGGUAAUAGUGUGAGGGUCCCUUAGGCAGAGAAGUAGAAAAUUAAAGAUGAUAGAAGUUUUAAAAUAGUUAAUUGAAUUGUUGUAUCCUUGCUUA
rnacentral:lncRNA from 1 species